UACGGGGGAGGCAAGCGUUGUUCGGAAUUACUGGGCGUAAAGGGCUCGUAGGCGGCCAACUAAGUCGGAUGUGAAAUCCCCAGGCUUAACCUGGGAACUGCAUCCGAUACUGGAUGGCUUGAAUCCGGGAGAGGGAUGCAGAAUUCCAGGUGUAGCGGUGAAAUGCGUAGAUAUCUGGAGGAAUACCGGUGGCGAAGGCGGCAUCCUGGACCGGCAUUGACGCUGAGGAGCGAAAGCGUGGGUAGCAAACAGG
rnacentral:rRNA from 1 species